CAAGGUCAUCCAGCUGGCUUUGUGUCUAAGGACUAUUCUGGAUGUCAGCCAGAAAUAUCGGCAGGUACUCAAUGUUGUGACUCGGUUAACAUGGGUGACUCUUUCAGGCCAGAGUCCAGAUUGAUAUCAUGAAAUCAUGUCACUGCAGGGGUGAUGAGUAGAUAACUGGAGCCUCUUCUUCCUGAUGUUCCAGCAUACCGUGGGGACAACAGUGGAAGACCCCAGGUCUGGAAGGAGAGGUCCAAUGAGUAAGAAACAGGAGAUCCAGACUGGGUGAUCAAGGCAGCCAACAACCACAAUGAAUACAGAAGUAAAAUAAUCUGAUGGAGAGCAGAAUUAAAACAAAAAUAUAAAUGUUAAAGCUAAAUACAAACAGUGCCAGAGUUCAAGUGGAAGAGGUGGCUUCGAGUCCUUCUCUUGACAACCCAACUCCCAAAGAAAUGGUUUCCGUGACUUGGAGGUGAUGCAGAAGAAGUCUUCUCUCUGGAGCCAGAUGGAAAUGUUUCCAAAAGUAGUGGCAUCUUUUAGGAAGGCCCCCUCUGCAUAGUUAAUCUCUUGAUAGGGCACAGAAUAGAUGAAAUGAUUUCCAGCUAUUCAACAAGUACAUUUUAAAGUGGUCAAGGCUGAAACCCAAAGUUGCCUGACCCACAACUUUCUAUCACACCCUUUCCCCACUACCCACUGUCUGCGCUUUUUCUGUCACGUUCCUUCUCCAUCUCUUCUCUCUGUCCAGAAGGUGUAGAAGGACUGGCACCCCGUUUUUGCCAGAAGUCUGAAUUCUCCAUCAUUUUUUAAAUAUAUAUAAUUCUCCUCCUGCCACCCAUUUCUCCCCUGGCCUUUCUGGUGGUCCAAAAUAUCUUAAGAGGCUUCUCUCCACUCCUGGUUUUUUUCCUCACAGUGGCCAUUUCAGCCCCUUUCUGCAUUAUUUAUUUCUACCUACUUUCUUUCCUUUUGGACUCCCUUCCAUUGUAUAAAAUUAGUCCAUGCAACCUGAGAAUGUUUAAUUGACUAGCCACUAUUACAAGUACUAUCAAGGCUUUGAGAACUUCCUUUUGGAGGGCUGAGCAUUAUGUUCUUCCAUCCUCUUCGGAAGAAGCUCCAGAAUGGUGGUGAGCAGACAUUAUGUUACUAAAUUGUCCCUCACCCGGGCUCAGCGCCCCCCCCCAACCCACACAAAUUGGGAAGGAGGAAAUAAGGCUCCUGGGCUCUGAUACAUUCCAUUCUCUCCUUCUCAUGGUCUGGAUAGAAAAGGUUAAGGCCAGAUUUCGAAAGACGUGCUAUAUCCUGUAAUGCUGUGUCAAGAUCGGCCUUUGCAAAUUCUCUGAAGUUUUCCCACCCACCCCUACAAAUGAAACUCCUAUUUUUGUCCCUGAUUCUCAAAAUGUUUGAGAAUUUCUUUCAAAUUUCUCUUAGUGCUAUGGAUCUUCACUUUCUUUUAUUGAUGGUGAUGGCUUAGAUGAUGUUAUCCUCUUUCCCUCACCCUAAAGCUUUCUUGGCUGUCCAUCCUACUCAGUCUGAAAAGCCUUGAGACACCCCCCCCACACACACACACACACAAUCUCCCUUGGGAUUGCAUGAAAGUGAAAGGAGCUAAGGAGACUGCAGAUUGCCAGAAAAAUGAUAGCUCAAGGAAAGAAAGGAUGUUCACCCAUAACCAUCACAUUGACUGGUGCCCACAUUAAUAUCAUUUCAGGGCCAGGUGAAGACUUUUCUAUUUCCCAGGCUUUUUAAUUGGCUUUUUAUUUGUAUUGUUUUAGAUGUUGAAUCACAGCCUUGCUGCUGCCUCAUUUAUUUGGUGUUUUCAUUGUACAUUUUAUUUGAUUUUAUUGUACAUGUUUUUACUGAAAUUAUGUUUUCUAAAUCACACAGAGAGUUUCAGCUACUGGAUAGUUUGAAAAACUGUGGGAAACAGAUAAAUAAAA